rnacentral:rRNA from 1 species
AUUGAACGCUGGCGGCAUGCCUUACACAUGCAAGUCGAACGGUAACAGGUCUUCGGAUGCCGACGAGUGGCGAACGGGUGAGUAAUACAUCGGAACGUGCCUAGUAGUGGGGGAUAACUACUCGAAAGAGUGGCUAAUACCGCAUGAGAUCUACGGAUGAAAGCAGGGGAUCACAAGACCUUGUGCUACUAGAGCGGCCGAUGGCAGAUUAGGUAGUUGGUGGGAUAAAAGCUUACCAAGCCGACGAUCAGUAGCUGGUCUGAGAGGACGAUCAGCCACACUGGGACUGAGAAACGGCCCAGACUCCUACGGGAGGCAGCAGUGGGGAAUUUUGGACAAUGGGCGCAAGCCUGAUUCAGCAAUGCCGCGUGCAGGAUGAAGGCCUUCGGGUUGUAAACUGCUUUUGUACGGAACGAAAAGCCCCGGGUUAAUACCCUGGGGUCAUGACGGUACCGUAAGAAUAAGCACCGGCUAACUACGUGCCAGCUGCCGCCGUAA